AAAAGAAGAAAGAAGAAGGGAAAUCAACCGUAGAGCUUCACCGGAGCUGGGUCUUGGUAUUUUGAGCCCGGAUUAAUGAUCAGCCCAUCGAGAUCUUCGAUUUGAAGUAGGUAUUAUACAUAUUCUAAGGAUUCUUGGGAAAACCCUCUUUUUGAUUUUUGGGAAAGAACCCACUUCAAUCUCGCUAAUCCUAUUUGGGUAAUCGAAACUAAGGUCUAACAGAAGGUGUGUACAAUGAUUUUGAAGGAUUUGGAUGAAGUGUUGGUGAAGAUCUAGAGUUUUGAGAGUUUUUGAGCUAAAGAAGUGAAAUUUGGGGUUUCAAUGGUAUUCGUGAGAAAGAGGUAAAAAUCUCCAUUUUUCUUUUGAUUUGAUCUUAGAUCUAGGUUGAUGAUACAUGAUUGGACCUUAGAUGAGUGAUUUGAGUCACUGAAUCGACCCCAAAGAAGUUCCCCAAGCCGGAGAGAAGAUGGGAAAGAUGAUAGAAGAAUUUCAUUUCAAGACUGGGGGUGUUCAAACCCACCUGUCUUUGGGUCUCUGGCCCACCUGUGUUCCCUGAACUCAAUUUCUGAGCCUCUGGUGUAACUGGCAGGUAUAAGACCGAUGGGCUCCAAGGCUUGCCUGUCUUGACUCAUGCCCACCUAUCUUUCCAGAAUACCCAGAAUGGGUCCAAAUUUGAUGAGUAAUCCCCAUUUUUUUAUUCUAAACCUAAUUUUAGUGUUCAAACAUGAUGAUUUUGACCCCAAAAUAAUGAAAUGAUAAACUAUUAUGUUUAUGAUAGGUUACACUCAUUAUACGCGUACCCACACAUUGGAUUUCUUACGUAUCGGGUACAAGCACCGUGUACAUAUACAAGUUACUAGCUUAAAGAUCAGGAGUCGGGUCCCACUGUAGAGUUUUCCUCCGAUGACUGGUGGGUCCUUGAUGAGUUCAAGCAUGGUGCUAAUUGAAUGUGCAAGGAUUGUGCUGCAUAGCUGCAGUGACUCUAGAGUGAUUCUUUUUUAUUUUUUUGAUGUACUCCCUUUUGAUGACUUGAUGCUUAAAUUGUUAUAUUUUUGUAUAUAUAUCAUGCCUUCAGGCCUAAAUGUAUAUAACUUUUAUAACUCAAUUUGGGUAUCAAGUAUUUAGGAAACAAUUACAUGUAUUAUUAUAAACAAGUCUUCAGCUGAAAAUACAGGUCUGAUCUUAGUUUAGUGGAUGUA